GGUAUCAGAAGUGCGAAUGCUGACAUAAGUAACGAUAAAGCGGGUGAAAAGCCCGCUCGCCGGAAGACCAAGGGUUCCUGUCCAACGUUAAUCGGGGCAGGGUGAGUCGACCCCUAAGGCGAGGCCGAAAGGCGUAGUCGAUGGGAAACGGGUUAAUAUUCCCGUACUUGGUGUUACUGCGAAGGGGGGACGGAGAAGGCUAUGUUGGCCGGGCGACGGUUGUCCCGGUUUAAGCGUGUAGGUGUGUGUUCCAGGUAAAUCCGGUUCACUUUAACACUGAGGCGUGACGACGAGGCACUACGGUGCUGAAGCAACAAAUGCCCUGCUUCCAGGAAAAGCCUCUAAGCAUCAGGUAACAUCAAAUCGUACCCCAAACCGACACAGGUGGUCAGGUAGAGAAUACCAAGGCGCUUGAGAGAACUCGGGUGAAGGAACUAGGCAAAAUGGUGCCGUAACUUCGGGAGAAGGCACGCUGAUAUGUAGGUGAAGUGAUUUACUCAUGGAGCUGAAGUCAGUCGAAGAUACCAGCUGGCUGCAACUGUUUAUUAAAAACACAGCACUGUGCAAACACGAAAGUGGACGUAUACGGUGUGACGCCUGCCCGGUGCCGGAAGGUUAAUUGAUGGGGUCAGCGCAAGCGAAGCUCCUGAUCGAAGCCCCGGUAAACGGCGGCCGUAACUAUAACGGUCCUAAGGUAGCGAAAUUCCUUGUCGGGUAAGUUCCGACCUGCACGAAUGGCGUAAUGAUGGCCAGGCUGUCUCCACCCGAGACUCAGUGAAAUUGAACUCGCUGUGAAGAUGCAGUGUACCCGCGGCAAGACGGAAAGACCCCGUGAACCUUUACUAUAGCUUGACACUGAACAUUGAGCCUUGAUGUGUAGGAUAGGUGGGAGGCUUUGAAGCGUGGACGCCAGUCUGCGUGGAGCCGACCUUGAAAUACCACCCUUUAAUGUUUGAUGUUCUAACGUGGACCCGUAAUCCGGGUUGCGGACAGUGUCUGGUGGGUAGUUUGACUGGGGCGGUCUCCUCCUAAAGAGUAACGGAGGAGCACGAAGGUUGGCUAAUCCUGGUCGGACAUCAGGAGGUUAGUGCAAUGGCAUAAGCCAGCUUGACUGCGAGCGUGACGGCGCGAGCAGGUGCGAAAGCAGGUCAUAGUGAUCCGGUGGUUCUGAAUGGAAGGGCCAUCGCUCAACGGAUAAAAGGUACUCCGGGGAUAACAGGCUGAUACCGCCCAAGAGUUCAUAUCGACGGCGGUGUUUGGCACCUCGAUGUCGGCUCAUCACAUCCUGGGGCUGAAGUAGGUCCCAAGGGUAUGGCUGUUCGCCAUUUAAAGUGGUACGCGAGCUGGGUUUAGAACGUCGUGAGACAGUUCGGUCCCUAUCUGCCGUGGGCGCUGGAGAACUGAGGGGGGCUGCUCCUAGUACGAGAGGACCGGAGUGGACGCAUCACUGGUGUUCGGGUUGUCAUGCCAAUGGCACUGCCCGGUAGCUAAAUGCGGAAGAGAUAAGUGCUGAAAGCAUCUAAGCACGAAACUUGCCCCGAGAUGAGUUCU
rnacentral:rRNA from 1 species